GCAGACAUAGCUCAGUAGUAGAGCACAUGCUUAGCAUGCAUGAAGUCCGGGUUCAAUCCCCAAUACCUCCA
rnacentral:tRNA from 1 species